UCUUCUCGUAGAAAGGGAACUUGCUGAUGAUGUACUGGUAGAUGCCGGAUAGCGUCAGGCGCUUCUCGGCGCUCUCGCGGAUGGCCAUAGCGAUGAGCGCCACAUACGAGUACGGCGGCUUCUGUGAAGGGUCGCCCUUCUCCAGCGGCGCCGCCGAGGACGACGAAGACGUCUUAGUGGAAGCCGGGCUCAGCUCGCUCUUUACCCCCGACUCGCCUCCGCCGAUGCCGGGCUCCUUGGCGGCCUGGUGGAGCAGAGCCACCGUGUCCUCGGGCGGGGGGUCUUGGUAGCUUGUGGCCAUCAUGGCACCACCUGCUGCUCAGGCUGCUGCUGCCGCUGCUGCUCACCUCGAAGGUGGCUUCAGGGGAUCGGGGCCCCCAGCCCACCAGAUCGCGGCGCUGGCUCCCCCAAGAUCGCGCAGGAAGAUCUGCUCCAAGCGCCUUUCCCGCCUGCCUACUUUAAGCCCUGCCUGAGCCUGGUGGGCUUUUUUGUCUCCCCCCGUUCCUUUCUGUCUCUCUUUCAAGAGGCAGGCAGCCAGCCUCCCUGAUCAGCAGGCUCAGAUAUCCACUCAACUGCUCUUCUGGACUAGCUCUUUUCUGAUUUGUAUGGGCUCCGGAGAGUUCCGCUUUCGUCAGGAUCCCUUUCUCUCGUCGCCCCCCCUCUGCCUCCCCCCCAAGCCUGGGAGCCAGCUGGGCACGGGCGAGUUCAUGGCGAAGUCACAUUGCACAAGUACACCCCGGCGAGGAAAUCAGCCGCUGAAGCCAAAGGGGGUCCCAGAGCGGAGGGAAGCGCGGGGGUGGGAAUGUUCGAUGGCUGGAAAACACACCCUCGAAAUCCUUCACGGGAAAGAAGCUGCCUCUCUUUUGCAGAUGCGGCGAAUGCACGAGGCAGCUUCGGAGGAAAACAAACGCUCCUACACCGUUUGUGUCGCCUUUUGCGUCCUCCUCAAGUGGCCCGACUCGACGGAAAGCAAAUCCAGGGGGCUUUUCCUUUUCCUGAGCACACAAACCUGUAAACACAUUUUUUUAAGUGAAGGACCCGAAAAGAGUGGCUACAAAUUACAGCACAAGGAUCUCCUCGGUAACUUUCAGAAGAGGAUCAGGGUAAAAUACCAUAUAAGGAGAGAUUGUAAUCUGCUGCGUCUACUUCUCAAGACUUAAAGAGGUCAACAGAGGGACAGUGACUUCCAACCUGAGCAGCCUGCUUUUUGUAUGGUUUUCUUAGGGUAUGACUAUACCGGCUAUUUCUGGAGAGGUACAUCCCAGAAGUAUCACCAGCUCCUGCUACACUCAGCACUCAACUCCUCAUCUAGAAAAUUGGACCUGAUAUGCAUUUUAUGCAGAUAUGCAGAUACAGGCUGGCUGCCAAAAACCUACACCAGUUUCCUGACACUUCAUGGAUCCUUUACAGUAUCUGCCUUGCAAAGAAUGAGCCCAUGCUAUGGUUUUAAUUGCCAGCUGUGCAACCUUGCAAAAUAGAAGUGCUUGGAUCUCUCUGCAGUAUUUGCAUUUUUUGACCCCCAAAGAGAAAAGAAUUUGCCAUUAUAUAUGGAAAAACAGAUUGCUAAUUUCACUUAGUGAAGGAGCUCAAGCUGAUCAGGCCAUCACUAAUAAUGCGUUAUGCAACAUUCCAAAAGCAAAACAUGCAUUAUUACAUUUCAGGACAUACCGACAUGUCCUGAAUAAAUGCCAGGAUUUUUGCAAUAUAAUUUAGAACUGCUUCCAGCUAUUAUGACAUCACACUAUGUGUUCAGUGUAAUUUAGUUUUCUGCUGUUUUUGAUAUAAAAACAGAUUUCAUCUCUCUUUUUAAAAUGAGAAAUUAAACUUAAAUGUUGCAUUCUAUGAAAUUAAUAAAAAUGCCACUCAAAACAGUGCAAUUUAGAGUGAUGCCAUUGAAUGUGCCUUACUAUUUAAACAAUUAAGCCAUAGAUAGCAUAAAAGUGUCUUUCAGAUUAAAUUUCAGGCUUAGUUACACAUCAUGGGAAAUGGCAGAAGUGUAACCAAACAGCCACUGCCGAGAGAAGUUUAGAAGAGCAUGUUUGGAAAAAUUAUUCCUUUACACUAAGACUGUAUGCUUAUUUGCAAUUUAUCUGAGUGCUGUA